AGCAGCCGCGGUAAUUCCAGCUCCAAUAGCGUAUAUUAAAGUUGUUGCAGUUAAAAAGCUCGUAGUUGAAUUUCGGGAUCAAUCUGUUGGUCGUGCCUUUGGUACGUACUAGCUUAUUGAUUUCUCCCUUCUGACGAACCAUGAUGUCAUUAAUUUGGUGUCAUGGGGAAUCAGGACUGUUACUUUGAAAAAAUUAGAGUGUUUAAAGCAGGCUCACGCUUGAAUACAUUAGCAUGGAAUAACGGAAUAGGAUGUUUGAUUCUAUUUUGUUGGUUUCUAGGAUCGACGUAAUGAUUAAUAGGGAUAGUUGGGGGCAUUAGUAUUCAAUUGUCAGAGGUGAAAUUCUUGGAUUUAUUGAAGACUAACUACUGCGAAAGCAUUUGCCAAGGAUGUUUUCAUUAAUCAAGAACGAAAGUUAGGGGAUCGAAGACGAUCAGAUACCGUCGUAGU
rnacentral:rRNA from 1 species